rnacentral:rRNA from 1 species
AACGAACGCUGGCGGCAUGCCUAACACAUGCAAGUCGAACGAGACCUUCGGGUCUAGUGGCGCACGGGUGCGUAACGCGUGGGAACCUGCCCUUAGGUUCGGAAUAACUCCCCGAAAGGGGUGCUAAUACCGGAUAAUGUCUUCGGACCAAAGAUUUAUCGCCUUUGGAUGGGCCCGCGUUGGAUUAGCUAGUUGGUAGGGUAAAAGCCUACCAAGGCGACGAUCCAUAGCUGGUCUGAGAGGAUGAUCAGCCACACUAGGACUGAGACACGGCCCAGACUCCUACGGGAGGCAGCAGUGGGGAAUAUUGGACAAUGGGCGAAAGCCUGAUCCAGCAAUGCCGCGUGAGUGAUGAAGGCCUUAGGGUUGUAAAGCUCUUUUAACCGGGAUGAUAAUGACAGUACCGGGAGAAUAAGCUCCGGCUAACUCCGUG